GACGAACGCUGGCGGCGUGCCUAACACAUGCAAGUCGAACGAAGAGAAUCGAGAGCUUGCUCUUGAAGAUCUUAGUGGCAAACGGGUGAGUAACGCGUAAACAACCUGCCUUCGGGAUGGGGACAACAGACGGAAACGACUGCUAAUACCCAAUGAACUAACCGAGCGAGUGCGAGGAAGAGGAAAGGUGGCCUCUCGGAGAAGCUACCGCCGGAAGGGGGGUUUGCGUCUGAUUAGGUAGUUGGUGGGGUAACGGCCUACCAAGCCAAUGAUCAGUAGCCGGUCUGAGAGGAUGAACGGCCACACUGGAACUGAGACACGGUCCAGACUCCUACGGGAGGCAGCAGUGGGGAAUAUUGCACAAUGGGGGAAACCCUGAUGCAGCGACGUCGCGUGAGCGAAGAAGGCCUUCGGGUCGUAAAGCUCUGUCCUAUGGGAAGAA
rnacentral:rRNA from 1 species